UACGUAGGGUGCGAGCGUUGCCCGGAUUUAUUGGGCGUAAAGGGCGCGUAGGCGGCCACGCACGUCCGUUGUGAAAUCGCCCGGCUCAACUGGGCGGGGUCAGCGGAUACGGUGUGGCUAGAGCAAGCUAGGGGGCAAUGGAAUUCCCGGUGUAGUGGUGGAAUGCGUAGAUAUCCGGAAGAACACCGGAGGCGAAGGCGGCUUGCUGGACCUGGUCUGACGCUGAGGCGCGAAAGCGUGGGGAGCGAACAGG
rnacentral:rRNA from 1 species